ensembl:lncRNA
CCCAGCAGACUGACGGAGAUCAAAAAUUACCUUAUCACCUGAAGGUCUGCGGAGAAGCCAAGAGAUGUUGAAACCUCCCACCACCUCCAACAUCAAAGGCUGCAGCAGGUAUCUUUCCAGGUGCUUUUUCACAGCUUUCAGUGAAAGCUCCCAUUCAAAAGGCAGUAACUCAGGAACAUUAGGUGUAGUUUCUGGUGGCUGAACCGGUUAAAGUUACCCUUCAGUGUCACCAGAAUCACACACUAAAAGAGGAAAUUCAAGAAGGAAAACAAAAGAGUCCUACCUAGGGGAUUGGCUGCUUUACAGGGGCUGGUAAUGAGAUCAUACUGCCAUGAUUCAGGGUCACAAAUCUGACUUCAGAUAAGGUGUAGCAACAGCCUCAAUCUGUAAUGGUGGCUGUUCAGCAACCUGUGUGAAAUUAAUGGAUAGUCUCUUGUAGCCUUUUAAUUUAACAAGGUAAUUGCUAUAAGUUUUGUAAAAAAAUAUCACCAAACACAACUACUAAAAUGAGCUGAUGUGUGAUAGGGAAUAACAAAGUUCACUGAAGUCUUUUGUACUGAUGCACUGAAUGAUGAUGUAUUCACACCACUUUGCUGCUCUUUGUUGGAGCUUUAGGGCAGAUAUGUUAACAAAGGAUGUUCUGUGUAUUUGCAAUAUAACAAAAUAAAAGAUUUUUUUUCCUGUAGGGCAUGACUACUAUUUCAUGUGACUCUAACUUUAAAUGUCCCAUAAGGUAACAGCACUAACCAGAAGCUUGUCCUCUUCUAUCUUACUGAGAACACCUUGUCUGAAAAGAUGCAGGCUGCUUUCUGCUCUGUACCUUUGUGCAGGGAGAAUUCAGAGUUCCUGGUGCAGUCCCGUUGUGCUGUGGUCGCCUCCUUUAGAGUUCACUGUAUUAAAGAUGAAGGUGCAGUUGAUCACCAAGUGGGACACAACUGAACUUCCAGAGAAGAUCUUUCAGUUAGCAUGUAUCUAAUAUUCAACAGGGCAUGAAUCUACUUUGCUAUAAAGUGAGCUGCCUUAUUCUCUGUGGAGUUAGAUGCUUGUGUUUUGGUUUUUGGCAUAAAUGGAAAGUAUUAUUUAUAGGCAUAUUUCUACACUUCCCUCCAAAAUCCAGACUAUUUUAUUGUUUUCCAGCUAUUCCUCAGAAGCCUACAAAGAUACAUUUGAUGCAUUGCAGUGUCUACUGUAAACACCCGACUUAUCAGGUCGAGUCUUGCAGGUUAGAUUAGGCUUCAUAAUUUAUAGACCUUGAAGCUCCCCAUGCAGUUGGGUAUCUAUGAAAUGAAGGACUAAGUGCAUGAAAAAAACAAUCUUCCACAAGGAUGGGGUAGCAAAAGGGUGCACAGCGUGAGACUUAGUAGUAAUUGUAGUAGAGUUGUCCUUGAAGAUUUGCAGAAUGUAGUGAAGGUGAUCUUGAGAUUGUGGAUGAAGGGUGGAUAUUAGGAAACAUUUCUUCUCAGAAAGAGUGGUGAGGCGCUGGCAUAGGCUGCCCAGGGUGUGAUAGAGUCACUGUCUCUGGAAAUGUUCAAGAAAAGGGUGAAUGUCACACUGAGUGGCAUGGUCUAGAGCAGUUAUAGGUAUGGCUUAAUAGUUUGACUAGAUGAUCUUAGAGGUUUUUCUGAUCUUAAUGAUUCUAUGAUUCUGUGAUUCUAUGAAGUGCAAAGAGCUCAUGAAAGAAAACUGUUACAGGGUCAUGCAGGGGUAGAGGGAGGGAGAGGAUUCCCAGCUCCCCCUCAUAAACUGCUAUGGGAUUGGGAUUGUUUCACCACUGCUCUUCUGCUUACUUCUUCUUUCUAACAAAAACAUGACCUCUCUGUCUGCAUCCUG